rnacentral:lncRNA from 1 species
GCUGGAGUGGGGUGCGGCCGCUAGCAUGUUACUGGCGAGCUGUCGGUGGGUCUGCUAGCAGGCUGUCUAUGCAAAGGAUGCGGGCAGAUAUGACUUUAUGUUUAUGUUUCAUCGUUCGUAUUUAUUUUUGAUAUAUUGUUAUAUUGUCAUCAGAGAGGAAGAACAAAAACACAGCUGCAGAGGAGGCUAACAUCUUAGCAACAGAGUUCUUCAUGCAGUCAGAUUCGUGGUCCUGGAGCAGAAGAUGAUCCAGCUGAAUGAAGUGUAGAGUGAAUCAGCAGUGAUGCAGGCCCUGUGUGUGAUGAUAACAGAAGCUCGACAGCCAGUGUCAGGACACACAGCAGCUGACCCUCAGGUCAUGGUUUGUCAGUGUCAGUGUGUUGUGUUGCUAAAUAUUUCCCAUUCACAAAUAGUUUGUGAGGUUAGGUAGUUGUUUAAUAAAUGUCCAAAGGUCUUAGAAGCUCA